rnacentral:rRNA from 1 species
AAGGUGCUGCAUGGUUGUCGUCAGCUCGUGCCGUGAGGUGUCAGGUUAAGUCCUAUAACGAGCGCAACCCUUGUCAUUAGUUGCCAGCAUGUAAAGAUGGGGACUCUAAUGAGACUGCCGGUGCAAACCGCGAGGAAGGUGGGGAUGACGUCAAAUCAUCACGGCCCUUACGUCCUGGGCCACACACGUGCUACAAUGGCCGGUACAGAGAGCAGCCACGUCGCAAGGCGGAGCGAAUCUACAAAACCGGUCACAGUUCGGAUCGGGGUCUGCAACUCGACCCCGUGAAGCUGGAAUCGCUAGUAAUCGGAUAUCAGCCAUGAUCCGGUGAAUACGUUCCCGGGCCUUGUACACACCGCCCGUCAAGCCAUGGAAGCCGGGAGUGCCUGAAGUCCGUCACCGUAAGGAGCGGCCUAGGGCAAGAUCGGUAACUAGGGCUAAGUCGUAACAAGGUAGCCGUACCGGAAGGUGCGGCUGGAUCACCUCCUU